UACGUAGGAGGCGAGCGUUGUCCGGAUUUACUGGGCGUAAAGGGCGCGUAGGCGGCCUAGCAAGUCACUUGUGAAAUCUCCGGGCUUAACUCGGAACUGCCAAGUGAAACUGCUGGGCUAGAGUGCAGAAGGGGCAAUCGGAAUUCUUGGUGUAGCGGUGAAAUGCGUAGAUAUCAAGAGGAACACCUGAGGUGAAGACGGGUUGCUGGGCUGACACUGACGCUGAGGCGCGAAAGCCAGGGGAGCAAACGGG
rnacentral:rRNA from 1 species